rnacentral:rRNA from 1 species
UACGAGGGGUGCAAGCGUUGCUCGGAAUUAUUGGGCGUAAAGGGUAGGUAGGUGGUCUUAUUUGUCAGGGGUGAAAGCCUUGGGCUUAACCCAAGAAGUGCCCCUGAAACGGUAAGACUAGAAUCUUGGAGAGGCGAGCGGAAUUCCCGGUGUAGCGGUGAAAUGCGUAGAGAUCGGGAGGAACACCAGAGGCGAAGGCGGCUCGCUGGACAAGUAUUGACACUCAACUACGAAAGCGUGGGGAGCAAACAGG